UUAUUUGCAUUUUAUCAGUGUGACGUGAUACAGAUAUCAAAGGAGAUAUUAUUAUGAGAUGCUGGA
rnacentral:tRNA from 1 species